rnacentral:rRNA from 1 species
UACGUAGGGGGCAAGCGUUGUCCGGAAUCAUUGGGCGUAAAGCGCGUGUAGGCGGUCCGGUAAGUCCGCUGUGAAAGUCGGGGGCUCAACCCUCGGAUGCCGGUGGAUACUGUCGGGCUUGAGUACGGAAGAGGCGAGUGGAAUUCCUGGUGUAGCGGUGAAAUGCGCAGAUAUCAGGAAGAACACCCGUGGCGAAGGCGGCUCUCUGGGACGGUACUGACGCUGAGACGCGAAAGCGUGGGGAGCGAACAGG